rnacentral:misc_RNA from 1 species
AGAGAGAGAGAGAGAGAGAGAGAGUUUUUCUUGAGAAAAAGAGGAAGGGCAAGGAGGCUUCGACGUUUUAUAGAGAAAUUAAGCCAGAGAGAGAGAGAGAGAGAGAGAGAGAGAGAGAGAGGGAGCUUCUGCUUCAGCUACUUCAGUUUUGGGCUAAUGGGUACUAAAGUAUACUAUACUAGUCCCCGAGUGAAGCGGUGGGAUAAAAUUACACACUGUGACUUUCCUGGAGUUGUGCAAUCAGGCCAAUAGAGAGGACGAGAUUUGGAAUCUAUGGUGGUUCCCAGCAGCCAGAGGUACUUGCGUUGGUUUUGAUUGGUCGGUGAGAAAAGGCA